GGGUUUUGAAAGAUGUUGCUGCAUUCUCUUCAAUAACAGAAAGGAAUGAGCCAUGACAUUUUUUUUUAAUGAAAAUGCUGAUCUGUUCUUUAUCUUCACAGAGCUAAAUGAAAAGUUUCAAAGACUGACUUGGUUGAAUACAUUUAUCGUUUAAGCUUGUGGAAUGCAGAGUUGUGAACAGUUUGAUAUCUUUCUUCAUGUUUAGUUUGAUUUUUUAAAAGCAGGGGAGAGCUCAUCCCACUUAGUAUUUCAUCUUUUCCUGGGUCUUCACUAAACUGUGUUAGAUGGUUUCAUAUGGUAAGAAAACUGGUGUUGAGCAGUGUAACAUGUCUGCUAGGGAUGUUUGUAAUGAUCCCCCCCCCUUUUUUUUUUGCCUGAAUGGAAGCAGUGAUUCCUGUGGUUUUUUUUCUUUUUCUUUUUCUCUUAAGGUUUUCCAGUCCAUUCCUAUUUUUUUUCUUUUUUCUUUUUUCUUUUUUUUUAAUGGAUGAAAAUGUAGUAGAGGAACAACCCCUUCUUCCAGCUCUCUGUCACUGCACAAGAAAAAUGCGGUUAUUCUCUCUGUCUUAACCAGAAAGGCAGUGAAAGCUACUGUUGUUGUGUUAAAAUCAAGGGGGAUGUGAAUACCUCCGGUUGGAUUUGACACUGGUAUCUCCAGAGCUCUCUGAAUCCUUAUCUCCAUAAUCUCCUACGGAGCUUCAAGAUAUAAACUUCUUAUUUAGACAUCAUAUGCGUUAACUGAAGUAAAAGCAUCCUCGUCUGAGAAGAUAUAUGGGUAAUUUUUGAUCUUCACUUAGCUUGCAGUCAUAGGUCUAUGAAAUGACUGAAAUGCAGUAAGAAUGGAGGCUGUUCCAAAUAUGUAUCCUGAAGGUGUAAGCUGUGAUGCAGCAUUUGCUUGAAUAUGCAUGAGACCUUUUCAUACGCAGUGGGUCAGAAUAUUUUUUUCCCUUGAGAUUAUGUCUUUGACUCAUCCUGAUGAAAAAAGAACAUCCCUUUCAAAUUCAUUGACUUUUACAUUAGCCAUAAUUUGAGAUUGCCUCUGUGGAGAUGAGUUGCCUUGGGGAGUCAAGAAUGUUUGAAAGAGAGAAUUUAAUGUGAAGAGGGAUUGCCACAGCUGCAGUCCUUUCUUCUGCAAGAGGUGUUUUAAAGUUGAUUUCACUGUAGGGUGAAGAUAAAACCUUUUCACUGUUCAUUAACCUUUAUUUUGGGGUGUUUCUGUUAAUAAGUUAUCUUUCUUGCUUUUGUUUUUAUUAUUUCUGUACUUUAUUCUUUGUAUUUUUUUCCUGCUGCAAAUGUCUAUAUUGUCUUGUCAUCUGCUAUUUGCUGUUAGUUUUGGUUGCAUUUCAGUGUUAUUUUUUAGAUGUAUUUUUUAGUGGAAGAAUAAAUCAUAUCAUGUUAUUUUGAAUGAACUUAUUUAAUGAAUGUAAAAUGUUUGAAUGAUCCCUUGUAUCUCUGAAUGCAUUGUCACUGAAUUACAUUGCCUUUCACAGAAACUUACAGCUAAUCAGUUUAUAACACAUAUAUUUAUGCUCUAUUUCUAGGUAUCUGUAGUUUAUUUUUAAUUCUUUUGUAAUUACAGACCUUGAUACUAUGACAUAAUCUGCUUGUCUUUGUUAGAAGCAGAAGAAAGAAUAUCACCUGUAGUCACUUCCAAAAGCAGAGUCAGUUAAAGUCAAUUGGUUCUAUUAUCACUGUGCUCUUCACAUUCAUAUGCCUCAAACUGGACAGAAGCCCUUUAAAUUUAUCUGCUGUAUCGAGGCAAUCAAAAGACAAGGAAUGGCAGUCACUGAGAAUGCAUUGCUUUGGAUCUCAGUAUCAGUAUUUGACUUAAGAAAUACAGUGAGCCAUUCAACCCAAGGAGGGAUACUUCUGCUUUUAAUCAGCAGUUUUAGAAUGGCAUUAUUAACUUUUCUUUUAACUUGUUUUAUUAAUUAAAUAUUAUAACUGUAUAGUGAAUAGAUACAGGGAAGAAUGCAAAGAGUAUUUGAUGAAGCCUGACAAAGGAGAGAAUGUUCUAACUUUUUCAGAAUAAGAAAAAUAUACAGCUUUCCAUCAGAUUUCUUAGAUUUGAUGUUGAGACUCUAAUGUGAUCCAAAGCAGACAGCUCCUUUCUUUUAAAUGGUAAAACGUUAUCACUUAGAGAGCAAAUAACAGAGCAAAACUGUUAGGUGAUAAUAGAUGGUAGGCUAUAUACAUUGUUUUGUACUUAUCAAUGUAUAAGAACAUGUGAGUUAGGUGAUAGGCUUUUGAGUACAAAUGUGAAUUAUUAUUUUUGUGUAAAUACAAGAAAUGUGUCAUUCAAUAGGAGAAUGGAAUUAAGAACAUGAAACUUUGAUGUUAUAAGAUGGCUGGAUUGACUAUAUAGAUAUAGUUCAAAAUUUCUGUAUCUAGACAUAAACUUAGAUUGUGGCAGAACAUUCUUUACUGUUAGACUGCACAGGAUUUUAUAGGAAGGAUGUCUUGAAGGAUAGUGA
ensembl:lncRNA